rnacentral:sRNA from 1 species
UAUUCUGCCCCAUGGGGAAGGAUGAGAAGCUUCGACUAAGGUUCGACUCGAGCGCCAGCGAGAGAACGUUGCCAGAGUCAACGGCCCGAAGGGCGAGGCGCUUUAGCGCCGAGUAAUCCGUCCCCCACCACCA